rnacentral:rRNA from 1 species
CCUACGGGUGGCAGCAGUGAGGAAUAUUGGUCAAUGGCCGCAAGCCUGAACCAGCCAAGUAGCGUGAAGGAUGACUGCCCUACGGGUUGUAAACUUCUUUUAUAGAGGAAUAAAGUUAGGCACGUGUGCCUUUUUGUAUGUACUUUAUGAAUAAGGAUCGGCUAACUCCGUGCCAGCAGCCGCGGUAAUACGGAGGAUGCGAGCGUUAUCCGGAUUUAUUGGGUUUAAAGGGAGCGUAGGUUGGUUGUUAAGUCAGUUGUGAAAGUUUGCGGCUCAACCGUAAAAUUGCAAUUGAUACUGGCAGCCUUGAGUACGGUUGAGGUAGGCGGAAUGCGUGGUGUAGCGGUGAAAUGCUUAGAUAUCACGAAGAACUCCGAUUGCGAAGGCAGCUUACUAAACUGUAACUGACAUUGAUGCUCGAAAGUGUGGGGAUCAAACAGGAUUAGAUACCCCUGUAGUC